CUACGAAGACUCUGAUUCUCAGAUUCAGAUGAGAUACGUAUGCAGUGGAUGCGACAUCCGUGCGAGUCAUUUUCUUUUGACCCUUCUUUUAGUAAGUAGUACAUUAGAUAAACAUACACGCUUUUCUCAUCCCUUCAAUCAUGUUUGCACAAAUAAGUUUUCACAAAAACAACAACCUUUGCAACAAAUGUGAAAAGGGCUCCCUAGGAGUACCUAGGAUGCUUUGGGUGCCUAACACCUUCCCAUUGCAUAACCAACCCCCUUAC
rnacentral:lncRNA from 1 species